GAUGAACGCUGGCGGCGUGCUUAACACAUGCAAGUCGAACGGAAAGGCGCGAGCUUGCCUGGGUACUCGUGUGGCGCAGGGGUGUGAAACACGUGUGGGAUCCCCCCUGCACUGCGUGGUAUGCCUGGGGAACUGGGUAUAAUACCGGAGAGGACCACUUGAAGGGCGUGGUUCAGGAGAGAUUGUUCGGUUUGGGGUGAGCUCGCGGCGUAUCAGCUAGUUGGUGGGGUAAUGGUUUACUAAGGGGACGACGGGUAGCCGGCCUGAGAGGGGGAUCGGCCACACUGGAACUGAGACACGGUCCAGACUCCGACGGGAGGCAGCAGUAGGGAAUUUUGGGCAAUGGGGGAAAGCCUGACGGAGCGACGCCGCGUGAGUGAAGAAGGUCUUCGGGUCGUAAAACGCUGUUGUUAGGGAAGAACCAUUGUGUAAGUAAACAUGCGGGUUUUGACGGUACCUGAACAAAAAGCCACGGCUAACUACGUG
rnacentral:rRNA from 1 species